rnacentral:rRNA from 1 species
CGGUGAAUACGUUCCCGGACCUUGUACACACCGCCCGUCAAGCCAUGGGAGCCGGGUGUGCCUGAAGACGAUAACCGUAAGGAGUCGUCCAAGGUAAAACCGGUGACUGGGGCU